AACGAACGCUGGCGGCAUGCCUAACACAUGCAAGUCGAACGAGACCUUCGGGUCUAGUGGCGCACGGGUGCGUAACGCGUGGGAACCUGCCUUUAGGUUCGGAAUAACUCAGAGAAAUUUGAGCUAAUACCGGAUGAUGUCUUCGGACCAAAGAUUUAUCGCCUUUAGAUGGGCCCGCGUUGGAUUAGCUAGUUGGUGAGGUAAAGGCCUACCAAGGCGACGAUCCAUAGCUGGUCUGAGAGGAUGAUCAGCCACACUGGGACUGAGACACGGCCCAGACUCCUACGGGAGGCAGCAGUGGGGAAUAUUGGACAAUGGGCGAAAGCCUGAUCCAGCAAUGCCGCGUGAGUGAUGAAGGCCUUAGGGUUGUAAAGCUCUUUUACCCGAGAUGAUAAUGACAGUAUCGGGAGAAUAAGCUCCGGCUAACUCCGUG
rnacentral:rRNA from 1 species